rnacentral:rRNA from 1 species
UACAUGGGGUGCAAACGUUGCUCGGAAUUAUUGGGCGUAAAGCGCACGUAGGUGGUCUGUUAUGUCAGAUGUGAAAGCCCUCGGCUUAACUGAGGAAGUGCACCUGAAACUGGCAGGCUUGAGUACGAAAAGAGGGUCGCGGAAUUCCCGGUGUAGAGGUGAAAUUCGUAGAUAUCGGGAGGAACACCAGUGGCGAAAGGCGGC